UAGGGAAUCUUCGGCAAUGGGGGCAACCCUGACCGAGCAACGCCGCGUGAGUGAAGAAGGUUUUCGGAUCGUAAAGCUCUGUUGUAAGAGAAGAGCGUGUGUGAGAGUGGAAAGUUCACACAGUGACGGUAACUUACCAGAAAGGGACGGCUAACUACGUGCCCG
rnacentral:rRNA from 1 species